rnacentral:piRNA from 1 species
UGAAGAAGAUGGAAAGUGAAU